rnacentral:lncRNA from 1 species
CUAGGAUUCUGCUUCAACACUUCCCCAUCUGAAGGACAUCUUCAAUUCGGCCUUGAUGAGCCACGAGUGGUAAAUAAGAGAUUCCUCCCUCAGGGGCUGGACAAUGAAGGAAAAGGCAGCCACAAGAUCCAUGUGCAGAUUCACACAGCAAAGUUCUGCCGUGUUUCAAACGGAAUACAGCUUAGCAGCUGCAGGGAAGAAAACCUAUUUUUAAUCACUGAGAAGCGUGGACACCGAUAGGAGCAGAAACCUCGGAUAUUGCUGGGUUCAGGAGCAGAGGGAAUACGGUAGACAGGACGGGGUCAGGUUCAGAGGGCCCUUUGAGCACCGGGGACUCGACACCUCCACCAAGUUGUGGGCGGGUCCGUUCUUGGCACAAAAGAGGCUCCUUUGCUGAACUAUGGCUGCUGCGGCGAGGCUAUUUCUGGGCUCGCUUUCUCUUCCUGGUGAUGAAAACAAGCACGUCCACCCAGUAAAUAAAGGCGAAGCCAAUGAAAGCAGCUGUAUUUCAAGGAGAGCCGGGGGACAAGCCAGAGAAUAAAUGAACAGAUCCAGUGACAAAAUGUCCAUUCAUUGGCUUCGCCCGGCAAACAUUUACUGAAGGCAUCUGUGCACCCGGCACUCUACUGAAUGCUGGAGAGACACAAAGAUGCCCUUGAGAACGGUGACCACCGCCUCUCCUCCACUGGAAUGGGAUGAAUAUUAACCAAACACAGCACCUAAAAGAACGGGGGAUAUGUGGGAUGUUUGAAUCAUCUGUGAAACAUGAAUGAAUUCCACAAGUGAUGUUCAGCAUCUGCUCAAAGGGUCUUAUUUGUAAUACCAGUCCAAAACAAUCGACAAUCAAUCUCACUGAUUCUAAUGAUAAUUGUAUGUAGUUUUAUCCAGAAACCCACUCUUUGAUAGGCA